GACAGGGAGGGAGGGAUGACAUUAAAAACAACAGAGGAGAAAACAUACAUUUUUUUUUUUUACAUUUAAAAAGAUCACUGAUUGCAACUAGUAAGUAGCCUGAUAGCAAAAUAAAAUAGUUAUUGAAGAAAGUAUAAAACUGUUUCAAGUCAACAUUUACGAUACGCAGUAAAAACCCACACACCAGGAGGGCAGACAGCGCAUUCGGAAAGUAUUCAGACCCCUUGACUUUUUCAACAUUUUGUUACGUUACAGCCUUUUUCAAAAAAAAGAUUAAAUUGUUUUUUUUCCCCUUAUCUACACACACAAUGAGAAAGGUAAAACAGUUUUUUUUUUUACGAAUAAUAACAUGAAAUAUCAAAUUUAUAUAAAGUAUUCAGAUCCUUUACUCAGUACUUUGCUGAAGCAACAGAGGCAGUGAUUACAGCAUUGAUUCUUCUUGGGUAUGAUGCUACAAGCUUGGCACAGCUGUAUUCGAGGAGUUCCUCCCAUUCUUCUCUGCAGAUCCUCUCCAGCUCUGUGAGGUUGGAUAGGGAUCGUCGCUGCACAGCUGUUUUCAAGUCUCUCCAGAGAUGUUCGAUCGGGUUCAAGUCCGGGCUCUGGCUGGGCCACUGAAGGACAUUCAGAGACUUGUCCCGAAGCCACUCCCACGUUGUCUUGGUUGUGUGUUUAGGAUCGUUGUCCUGUUGGAAGGUGAACCUUCACCCCAGUCUGAGGUCCUGAGAGCUCUGGAGCAGGUUUUCAUCAAGGAUCUCUCUGUACUUUGCUCCGUUGAUCUUUCCCUCGAUCCUGACUAGUCUCCCAGUCCCUGCCGCUGAAAAACAUCCCCAGGGCAUGAUGCUGCCACCACCAUGCUUCACCGUAGGGAUGGUGCCAGGUUUCCUCCUGACGUGCCGAUUGGCAUUCAGGCCAUACUUGGUUUCAUCGGACCAGAUAAUCUUGUUUCUCAUGGUCUGAAACUCCCAAGAGGGCCGUCAUGUGCCUUUUACUGAGGAGUGGCUUCCGUCUGGCCACUCUACCGUAAAGGCCUGAUUGGUGGAAUGCUGCAGAGAUGGUUGUCCUUCUGGAAGGUUCUCCCAUCUCCACAGAGGAACGCUGGAGCUCUGUCAGAGUGACCAUCGGGUUCUUGGUCUCCUCCCUGACCAAGGCCCUUCUCUCCCGAUUGUUCAGUUUGGCCGGGCGGCCAGCUCUAGGAAGAGUCUUGGUGUUUCCAAACUUCUUCCAUUAAAAGAAUGAUGCCACUGUGUUCUUGGGGGAUCUUCAAUGCUGCAGACCCUUCCCCAGAUCUACAGACAAUUCCUUCGACCUCUUGGCUUUGUUUUUGCUCUGACAUGCACUGUCAACCUCCAAUCCAUUUUAGAACGAGGCUGUAACGUAACAACAUUUGGAAAAAAGGGAAGUGGUCUGAAUAAUAUCCGAAUGCACUGUAGACAUGCAGGCUAGGUCAUGUGAUCACAGGCAUGUGUCAGAGAGUGGACUAGGUCAUGUGAUCACAGGCAUGUGUCAGACAGAGUGGACUAGGUCAUGUGAUCACAGGCAUGUGUCAGACAGAGUGGACUAGGUCAUGUGAUCACAGGCAUGUGUCAGACAGAGUGGACUAGGUCAUGUGAUCACAGGCAUGUGUCAGACAGAGUGGACUAGGUCAUGUGAUCACAGGCAUGUGUCAGACAGAGUGGACUAGGUCAUGUGAUCACAGGCAUGUGUCAGACAGAGUGGACUAGGUCAUGUGAUCACAGGCAUGUGUCAGACAGAGUGGUCUAGGUCAUGUGAUCACAGGCAUGUGUCAGACAGAGUGGUCUAGGUCAUGUGAUCACAGGCAUGUGUCAGACAGAGCGGACUAGGUCAUGUGAUCACAGGCAUGUGUCAGACAGAGUGGACUAGGUCAUGUGAUCACAGGCAUGUCAGACAGAGCGGACUAGGUCAUGUGAUCACAGGCAUGUCAGACAGAGUGGUCUAGGUCAUGUGAUCACAGGCAUGUCAGACAGAGUGGACUAGGUCAUGUGAUCACAGGCAUGUGUCAGACAGAGUGGACUAGGUCAUGUGAUCACAGGCAUGUGUCAGACAGAGUGGACUAGGUCAUGUGAUCACAGGCAUGUGUCAGACAGAGCGGACUAGGUCAUGUGAUCACAGGCAUGUGUCAGACAGAGUGGACUAGGUCAUGUGAUCACAGGCAUGUGUCAGACAGAGCGGACUAGGUCAUGUGAUCACAGGCAUGUGUCAGACAGAGUGGACUAGGUCAUGUGAUCACAGGCAUGUGUCAGACAGAGCGGACUAGGUCAUGUGAUCACAGGCAUGUGUCAGACAGAGUGGACUAGGUCAUGUGAUCACAGGCAUGUGUCAGACAGAGCGGACUAGGUCAUGUGAUCACAGGCAUGUGUCAGACAGAGUGGACUAGGUCAUGUGAUCACAGGCAUGUGUCAGACAGAGCGGACUAGGUCAUGUGAUCACAGGCAUGUGUCAGACAGAGCGGACUAGGUCAUGUGAUCACAGGCAUGUGUCAGACAGAGCGGACUAGGUCAUGUGAUCACAGGCAUGUGUCAGACAGAGCGGACUAGGUCAUGUGAUCACAGGCAUGUGUCAGACAGAGCGGACUAGGUCAUGUGAUCACAGGCAUGUCAGACAGAGUGGACUAGGUCAUGUGAUCACAGGCUUGUAUCAGCUCCAGUCCUCCAUGACUCAGACAGAUGUCACACAACACAGUGCCCUUAUUGAGUCUAAAAUAAUACAGGCCUCACACCUUUAUUCCAAAAUCUGAUUUGGCCAAAAAGACAAUUAAAAUGUGAAACGAUAUACAAAACUAAAUGUAAACCCAGUUUAUACUGCUCUACAACCCUGGAGGAGAGGA